rnacentral:rRNA from 1 species
GACGAACGCUGGCGGCGUGCUUAACACAUGCAAGUCGAACGGAAAGGCCCUGCUUUUGUGGGGUGCUCGAGUGGCGAACGGGUGAGUAACACGUGAGUAACCUGCCCUUGACUUUGGGAUAACUUCAGGAAACUGGGGCUAAUACAGGAUAGGAGCUCCUGCUGCAUGGUGGGGGUUGGAAAGUUUCGGCGGUUGGGGAUGGACUCGCGGCUUAUCAGCUUGUUGGUGGGGUAGUGGCGUACCAAGGCUUUGACGGGUAGCCGGCCUGAGAGGGUGACCGGCCACAUGGGGACUGAGAGACGGCCCAGUCUCGUACGGGAGGCAGCAGUGGGGAAUAUUGCACAAUGGGCGGAAGCCUGAUGCAGCAACGCCGCGUGCGUGAUGACGGCCUUCGGGUUGUAAACCGCUUUCGCCUGUGACGAAGCGUGAGUGACGGUAAUGGGUAAAGAAGCACCGGCUAACUACGUG